AUGGAGAUGUGGAAAUAUCGGGUCGUAGGAUCGGUGGCUGCCCUGCUCUUGCUACUCGCCGUCGUCGUGCCGUUUACUCAGACCCAGACGCAGAGCGCACGGGACAAGGCUGCCAUGGCGGAAGACGCAGGGCCGUUGGUGGGAGGCAUCAAGGACUCGCCGAUGGGGCAAGAGAACGACCUCGACGUCAUCGCGCUCGCCCGCUUCGCCGUCUCCGAGCACAACAACAAGGCCAAUGCCCUGCUGGAGUUCGAGAACGUGGUGAAGCUGAAGAAGCAAAUUGUUGCUGGCACGAUGCACUUCAUUACAAUUCGGGUCACUGAAGGUGGGGCCAAGAAGCUCUAUGAAGCUAAGGUGUGGGAGAAACCAUGGGAGAACUUUAAGAAGCUCGAGGAGUUCAAGCCGGUGGAGGACGCUGCAAUCGCAUAA
rnacentral:rRNA from 1 species